GAAUCUUGCACAAUGGGGGAAACCCUGAUGCAGCGACGCCGCGUGAGCGAUGAAGCCCUUCGGGGUGUAAAGCUCUUUCGACGGGAACGAUAAUGACGGUACCCGGAGAAGAAGCCGCGGCUAACUACGUGCCAGCAGCCGCGGUAAUACGUAGGCAGCAAGCGUUGUUCGGAGUUACUGGGCGUAAAGAGUACGUAGGCGGUUUGCUAAGUCUGGUGUGAAAUCGCCUGGCUUAACUGGGAGGGUGCGCUAGAUACUGGCAGGCUUGAGUAUGGGAGAGGAGAGUGGAAUUCCUGGUGUAGCGGUGAAAUGCGUAGAUAUCAGGAGGAACGCCGGUGGUGUAGACGGCUCUCUGGACCAUAACUGACGCUGAGGUACGAAAGCGUGGGUAGCAAACAGG
rnacentral:rRNA from 1 species